UAAAAGAGGGAUAUAAAACAAUGUCACUUGAAAGAGGAGGAUGUAGAUGCUGCACUUGGAGCACUUCCCUUUGCAACCCAAUAAUUCCCUCUCCCACGCCUCUAACUUUAACUGCUCUUCAUGUGGGGAGGCUGAAACAACAGCUUGCAAGGAACUGCCACGCAGAGCUGCUGGUUGGGAAGAAGGAACCCAGGGAACUGCACCUCAGCAGCAGAAAGAAGGGAAGCAGACACAAAUGCUGGGACAGACAUUUUCAGCCUUGCAAGCUUCAAAGUCUGCCAGCUUCCAAUAUAACUCCUGUCACGUGAGAGAGCAUUGGCACAUGAAAGACUCUUGGCCCAGCUCAGCUGUCAUCAUCAGCUCUUCUGCUUGGAGAAAGAAAAAAGCCUAGCAAUUUUAGUGUUCCGAAGAAUCAAGAAGUAUAUUCUUCUGCAAAGGAGUUGGAUGAACAUGAUUUACCCAAAAGACACAAUUUAAAACAAAUAAAACCACCAUUAAAACAGUAACCACAGCCUGUGCUGCCACCUAUCCUUGGUUAAUCUCUGCAUUUUCUGCAGGCUGUUUUUCCACUUCCAAACUAUGGGCUCUGCCCUGUAAACAGGGCUGCCCCUCAACUGAUGAAAAGGCCACGGACACCAGCCCUUGUGCCAGCCUUGGGAGCCACAUGCUUGACUCUGGGACAACACAUAAGAUGCAUCUGCUUGGGGCAGGCAUUGGGGCAGGUACUGCAUGUCAGUUCUGUGUUUUGCACACUGGGGGAAAUAUCAGCAAAACUAGUCUUUGGACUAAGACCUCUUUCCAUCUAAAGUCUAUCACUUUACUGUAUUUGUAUUAAAAUUUAAGUGGCUUAUUACUAUGUUUACUUCUUGAAAUACUUAUACUCCCAAGAAAAUAAACUUUUUCUUUCUUGUUGGACUUGCCA